rnacentral:rRNA from 1 species
AACGAACGCUGGCGGCAUGCCUAACACAUGCAAGUCGAACGGAUGGUUUCGGCCAUCAGUGGCGCACGGGUGAGUAACGCGUGGGAAUCUGCCCAGCAGUGGGGGAUAACCUCUGGAAACGGAGGCUAAUACCGCAUACGCCCCUCGGGGGAAGGGCUUGCUGCUGCUGGAGGAGCCCGCGUCGGAUUAGGUAGUUGGUGGGUUAACGGCCUACCAAGCCUGUGAUCCGUAGCUGGUCUGAGAGGAUGAUCAGCCACACUGGGACUGAGACACGGCCCAGACUCCUACGGGAGGCAGCAGUGGGGAAUAUUGGACAAUGGGGGCAACCCUGAUCCAGCAAUGCCGCGUGAGUGAUGAAGGCCUUCGGGUUGUAAAGCUCUUUCGCCCACGACGAUGAUGACGGUAGUGGGAGAAGAAGCCCCGGCUAACUUCGUGCCAGCCGCCGCGGUAAUAC